CUAUUGUGUGAUUAAUUAUCAGCAUGUUAAGAACUGAGAUAAUCAAUAACUUUGUAUUGUAAAUGUGAAAAUUCUGGUGACAGGAGUCAAGCCCACAGCAAACCCUUUCAGUAUUGAACUGUAAGCAAAAGAGAAAAGCAAAAUUAUGCAAUCUGAGAAGCAGAUAGGAAAAAUGCUUUCAGUCUGUAAGGAAUCUGCAUUGAAGGAUGUUCAAUUUCUUAAUGUGUUUUUCAUUAAGAUGCUCUUGUUUUCCUUCUUUUUAUUUAUCUGGAGAAGGCAGCUGGAGGAUGAAGCAAAGAUGAAUGAAAUGUUCUGGUUUCUAAUGUAUUAUGGAGUCUCACUACUUGAUGGAUUUCCAAACUCUCCGGAAGAGAUUUUGAAGAAGCAUGGAAGACAACAGGAGGAGGGGGAUAUGUUGCCAGAAGAAGGACUCUAUAUUUCCGGUAAUAUUUCUUGACUGACUCAGAUUAAAGCUCUCCUGCUUUAUUAGAUACUCCCCUGCCCACUGAACAGUGUAUUUGGGAGUGCCUGCCAGUUGCUAAUACCAUCAGCGUGGCUUAAACCUCCCAGAUUUACUGUUCUUUCAAAAUUCCACACCUGGGGAAGCCUGCUAAUCAGUUGGCUUGCAGGUACAAGUUUGCGCCGAUGGCUAAAUCCAGCCAUCUGUCCAAACCUUCUGCUAACUAUACCAAUGCUGUGCUUGGCAGAUGGUUUCUUCUUGGCUGGGGACAUUCAAAAGGGGGAGGGUGUCAAAGCCAGAGGGUGGAACUCCUGACAUUGUUUAACACACCCUGUGCACCCAAAAUCAGGACUUCCAUCUUGCACACCUAGCUAGAAUUGAGGCAGCAGGGAUAGAAUAAUCAGCAGCAGAGAUGGCAAAUUUUAUGUCCAUAUGUUAUGUUGGCUAAAGACUGGGUAGGUAGGUCUUCCUCAUUUUCCAUCCAGUCCUUAGGAGCCAUUUACAGUAGCCAAAAAUGCCUCCUAUUAUUGCUUUAAUUGUUGAGAGGCAGAAUAGCAAACUCUCCCCUGAAGUGAGCAGUUUUCUCUCAUGACAUAAAAUUUUAAUUAGAAACAACCCGGCAGCCUUGAAAUGGGAACAGCAAGCAGCAGAAGUCAAAUUAAUAAAAUAUUCAAUGACAGGAAUGUAUUAUUGAUACAGCCUAUGUGCCUGGUCCUAAAAAUUCUGUCAAAGCGCAUGAAGCCGUAAACUGGAAGGCCUUCAUCUCUUCACUUGUAGAACCAAAACGCUGCUCAAAGAGAGCUGGUACUUAAUAUUCAGUGAGCUUCCCAACUGGAUCAUAAUCAUCUGAUCCAACCCAUAGUGGCAAUCAUAGUGAGAGGUCUUGGGGGCAUCAGUUAAGGAUAGGCAUUUCAAUCAUAGAUUGGAGUGUGCUCUUGCUGAAUCUCAUCAUUUCUACAUAAACAGAAUUGCUAGGCAAUCUCAAAUUGCUCCAGAAAAUGAUUGUUAUUCUCUAAGAAGCUGGUCAACUUCUCUUGACCAAAUGAAGAUACAAUGUUUAAAGAUGCUGUCUGACAAAAACAAGAUGUUAUACUUGGUUCUUUAAAGAUCUUGAAAGUAUCAUCAGUCUUGAGUUGAGUUUCCAUUACAUGCUAAUCUAUGCUUGAUUUAAGUAAGCUUGAUGGCUUACUGAAUAAUCUACAACAGUGAUUCUCAACCUUUUCUUCACCAUAGACCCCCUUUAAAUUCCUCUUGUGGCCACGGUCCCCCAAGACUUAACUGAAGAUUUAAAUAGUAACAUUUCUUCAAGCUCUCAUUAACCUCCCAUUAUGACAUUGCUGACCUCCCGGCGUUCCUGGAUCACAGGUUAAAAAACACUGAUCUAUACUACACUAGCUGGGCUGGCAUGACAUACUAAAUCAUGAGCCAUUUUUUGCAAACUUCAGAGCUGGCUUUAUAAAGCCAAAUUGCUUAUUUAGUAUACAGUGUGGUCCCUGGUUAAGAAUGAGUUCUGUACCCUAACUCUGUCUUUAAUCCAAAUUUGUAUUUAAGUCAGAACUCGCCAAUUGCUAAAAUGGCAGAUGUUCGUCUUCAAACUUGACAAAGUACUUAAAUUGAGCAAUGCUUUCAGGAACCACGGAAAGCUAGUUGCAUUAAUGCACGUCUUUACUUCAUUGGCUGGAAGGAGAACACUGUCUGCCAAAUAGACAGCCCAUUCAUAUCUAGGGUUUGCCCUUCCAUUGGAUGUUGUUAACCCAAGGAUUGCUUGUACUUUAUGAACCUAUUGGUGUGUUCUUCAUGGAAAAAGAGGAGGGAGUAUAAAGGCAAGAGCUGCAAGGCAGAUAUGAAGAGUGUAUCUUUAUGCAGGGAACUUUUCUGCAGCAUCAGUUUUUGGACAUUUAGCCUAAGAGUGGUGCUAUGACUGGUGGCAGUUUUAGAGAGGGGUUCUCCUAGCUUUUUCUGAUGUUGAAUUUGGAAUUUUUUGCAUGCCAAGCAUGAAUUCCAUCACCAAGUACGAAUAAACGAAAAAUGUGUUAUACUGCCAAACAGUAUGUGAAAUACAGGUAGUCCUCAUUUACCGGCUGUUUCAUUUAGCAACUGUUUGAAGUUACAACAGUAUUUUUAAAAAAAACAGUUUUGUGACCAAUCCUCAGAUUUACAACUGUUAUAAUGUCUUGCAAGUCAUAUGAUUGCUAUUUGUGUGCUUCACAACUGGCUUGUAGCAAACUGUCUUAAUGGAGAACACCGAAGUAAAAUCAAAAUUCACAAUCCUGUGAUGUCUCACUGAACAAUCAGAUGGGAAGUAAUGUAAGCCUGUCAGGGACAGGUCAUGUAAUUUGCUAUUUAGCAAUUGCUAUGCACAUGUUCACAUUUUCAGUUCUGCUCCAGGCGAACCGGUUGUUAAAUUAUGUGAAGCCCAUCUCUGUUCACAGUGGCAUAUUUUACAUAAAGGCCAAAGUUAAAUGUUGGACUUUAAUGCCCAGAACAUAUCCCAUCUCCUCCUGCAUCUGUCAAAAAGCAUGAGACCUAUGGAGCAUUGGAAUGUAUUUCUAGCCAGAUUGUAGCAAGGAAGAGAAAAUGUCUGAAUUUCACUGGAGGAGGUAGGAGCUUAUGCAGUUUUUCUGCCUCCCUGAAGCUCAGUAAAAUGUACCAUGCUUUGUAAGCCACCAUAAGUCAGGAGGAUCAAGAGAAUAUAACGGAGCAGCUAGAAUAAUAUGCUAGGAUAAUUUGAUUCAAUACAACAUAAGCCACUGCUAGGAGUUGGAAAGUAUUUAUGGAGUAUACUUGUCUUCUGCUUGUAUAAAUGUUGGAUUUCAUCCAAUCCAUAUUUUUUACUAAAGUGGACUUAAUAAAAUGUAAUAUUUCCUCCUUGCUAGCUUCUUCCUGUCUUAUAUAGAUGUUUCAUUAACUAAUAUAGUGAUUACUUCAUAAUUUAAUGAAGGAGCUAUAAUUCUGCUUUUAUUGUGUAUUUUAGUAUUUUUAUUUAUUAUGUUUUUUGAUUUGAUUCGGUCUAAAAAUAACUUUUUUUUAAAUUUGUAAGGCUUUUUCCAUGAUUGAUUGAUACAGCUCCCAAGAGAAGGGAGGUUUUGUAGAAAAAGUUACCAAAUAAUACGUAUUUAUUGAGAUAUGGUUUCAUUGUUUGGAAUACCAGACACUCUGCGCCUCUAAGAAUUGUGCACCCUGCUCCUUAAUAGUCACCGCAGAUGACAAAUAACAAAAAUGCUGUGAUUCAUGAAAAUAUUUCUUCUACUCAGACUACUCAGAGAAGGUCAGUGCGAACGAAGGCAGUAUCCAAUCCUUCCAGCAAUAUAUUUGGUAUGGCUGGAAGAAAACAAGAGAAGAGGAAAUAGCUUCCUGAAAGAUGACAUGAUUUCAAGGCCAUCCCAAGGACAAAGUGUGAAUUUUAUGCUUUUCUCCAGUUUCAGAAGUCUUGUCUUGCCCUUUCGUUAGCUGUAGAUUAGUACUGAAGUCACACCACAAUAUGAGUUCAGUAAUUUUUCCACAGAAAGGUCUGUGUUAUGUCUCAUGCUAAACUGAAAUAAUGUGGCAACGAGUUGUCUGAAAAGUAAACCUAAUAGCUUACUAAUAUGCCAGGCUUGUUUAUACAUGUAGCAGAAAUAUAAAUAUUAACCAGAAACAGGCUGCUGAGCAACUAUAGAAAUAAUCAAUGAGAAGGAAUAGUAAAUCUAUUUGACCAAUAGGAAAGUGACUUGCAAAAAAUGUUUAAUUAUGGUCAUUUUUUGGUUCAUAUUGGUGCAGCCUGAUUCUUGGAAUCUGGAAAAAUAUGCAAAGCCUUUUUCUGAAAAUAAAGAAAAUAGAUCUUAGAACUAGCCAUAAAUUGAAAUAUAUAAUGGAAAUUGGCAACAAAAGUCAUGACUUGACUACUUGUCAUAACUUGUUGGAAAGAUAAGAUAGAAAUGUAUAUUCAAAUAUUUAUACAUUACAACCACACCUUGUUUAUCACUACCUCGGUUAAGGGCAUUGGCAAAUAUGACAGAAAUUUUAAAAAAUAAUUUUCCAAACUGUGUGUGAGGUUAUAAGUAAAUUUAAUGGGCCUGACAACAAAAUCAUUCACUAUGAAACUGAUUAAGGUCUAGUCAGUUUCAAGAAGCAGCAGGAUUUAGUCUAGAUUCUAAUAAACUAAUUAGCUCACAAAACUGCUUGUUAACUUGUGGUUAGCAUUUUUUGAGGGAAGUGUUAUGUUGAUGUGUUUGAAUGAGGUACACUGGAUUCCAGAGCAAUCAGGGGGAGCUCAGUCCACAGUAUUUUGUGUGAGAGAAAGAGGGAGAAGACAGCCCUUCCCUAAUAGUUCUCAGAGUUUAUGUUUGAUGUAAAUAGUAAUGUACUUUGGUUUGGCAGAAUUCUACUUAUAGGCGCAGGAUAAUAAAGAACCCAGCUUGGAACAAUCA